rnacentral:lncRNA from 1 species
CCUCUCCUGUUGUUGCUACUGCCGCCCCUCCCCUUCCUCCAUGGCUCAUCUCUUUUUUUUCUUCUUUUUUUCGCUUCAAAUUUCCUAAAGACCCAACAUCUAACUUUGCGAUUUUGCUAAAACCUCUUCGGAAACAACCUUCAUACUAAUUUUUGACCAUGAAAAAUCUCAUUUUGAGCAAAGGUUUUCAUGGGUUUUAGUGUGAGAAAAUGAAGCUAGAGAGAGAAAGGUUCAACAAGAUAAGAAUGGUGUUUUUCUAACUCUCCUAGCAUGAUAUUUGAGUUUAAUUGUUAUAAAAAAGCUUAAAAAGUUUUGAUAUUAAUUUUGGAUAUAUUUUUGUGUGUAUGGAAAAAGAGAAAAUGUGUAAGGAUGGAUUUCAAGUUUGUUGGAGAUUGGAUUCAAGCUUUUGGAAGUGUGAUUUUGAGUAUUUUAACAUCUAAGAGGUAAGUAUCCUUGGAUAAUCUUGCUUUUCCUAUACUAAUAUGUUUAGGUAAACAGGGGAAUUGUAUAUUGAAUGAGAAUUUAGUUAUGUAAAAUGGAUACGUGGAAAUCACUUGUCUUGAAAAUGGUUAAAAUAUAUAAGUAAUAAGUUAGGGGUAAUGACCUUGCUUAUGAAAUGUUAUAUUCAGUAAGAAUGUGCUAUGAUAAAAUUUAGUUGCUAUGAAUUAAUUAAUCAAGACUAUUUGAUAUAUGUGAAUAUGUAUGAAUUAUGAUUCUUAGUAAGAAUAAAUAUAAUAGUAUGUUGCCAUAGCAAAACAAUAAUUAAUAUGCCAAUAUGGCCACCUUGUUGAGUAAAAGAAUUUGGUGUGUGAUAGUUUGUGUAUGAUUUAGAAAUGAAAGCCUAAAUUAAAGAUUGAAUAUAAAGCGCAAUAUGUGAAUAUUAAAUGGCCAUGAAAGUGAAUUUGAGAUUUAUAUCACCUAAGUGAUAAGUGAAAUAUGUAUGAAACAAUAAUGAGUGGCUUUAUGAGCCCUUGAUAUGUGACCUCGAUUAACGAGAAUUAAUAAGUGAUUCAAAGAGAAAUAUGUAAAUUGAGUAAAUAUGGAAAUAGGCACAUGUAUAUUCCUUUUAAACGAUUUUGGUGGGAUACGAUUGACAUGCAAAUAGGGAUUUAUGUGCACUUGGAGUUUUGUAUUGGAGAUCUUGAUUCCUCAGAGCUUACCACUUCAUUGCUCUCCUAUAGUGUGGGAUGAUACACUUAUGUGUAAUUUGGUUAUGUUAGAGGGUUGUGGUAUGGUACCUAGAACUUAUGUGCUUCAUGGUUAUCCAUUUCAUGUUUUGCUAGAGUUUACUAACGGGGAAACAAAUUAAAAAUCAUAAUGAGAAGUUUGGCCUUUGAAUAUAAGACAUUAAAAGAAAGUAAGAGUGUUACAUGCUAAGAACAAAAGGCCUAAAAGGUUUACAAUAACAAUGAAUAAGUGCUUAAACUACGGUUUUAAUAUAUCAUGAUAUUAAGUUCCGAUUAAUGGUAAUACAAGGAGAUUUGAAAUAAUCCAACAUAGUUAAAUAAUUAUGCAUUUAAUAAUAUGUUUACUAUGAGUCAUAAUCCAUGAAAUUAUGAUUAAACUUUAUGAUGUAGUAUGCCCCUAAUAGGGAAACAAGCAAAUGAAAAUAUGACUUACAUAAUGAACUCAUAGCCAUAAGUGGAACUCAUAUGUGAAUAAGCUAGAAAGUUAAUUGAAAAUGAUAUGGAAUUGGAUUGGAUUAUGUAUAUGAUCUUGACAAUAAUCAUGAACACUAAUUUGCAAUACAAAUUGUUAAAGAACCAAUAAUAGGUAAAUUCAGCUCCAUAAUUUGGUAAUUAGAAUUGAAUCCAUUAAAAUGGCUUAGUAUGGUGGAAAUGACUUGGAAUAGUUCUAGAUAAGGAUUUAUAUUAGGAUGAGAGAAGUAGGCUCACCCUUGAGUACUUGUUGAGCUUUUUAAGCUCACACGUGAGUGGUUUAAACAUAUACGUAAAGGAUUAGGUGAGAAGUUUAAGGUUUGAACUUGGGAGCUUCGCAUCACAUCUUACUUGAGCUUGUAAUAUAUUUAUAUUAGCAUUAUUGUAUAAAGAUUUUAGCAUGUACAUAAGGACUUAAUUUGAAUACAUUAUUUAUAGAAUCUGAUUUGAAAUUUAAGUUGUUUUGAUGUAAUUAUUCAUGUUUUAUUCCAUUAUUUGACUUGGAUGUGUUUAUGCUUUCUAUUUUGAGUUUAAAUGGGUUCUGGAAAUUGAUUUUAAUGCUUUGGACCAUGUGGAAAUGUAUGAUGAAGUUUGGACAUGUUUUGGAGUGUUUUUAGGUUGAUUUUUAGCUUUAAGGGCUUAGGGUUCGGUACCCUUACCAUAAGUAUCGAACCAGGAUAAGUCAGUAGAUAAAAUGCUACAGUACCAAUGCAAGGUACCAAUACAUAAGGAGCUAUGUACACGAUACUUGCAGCUUUGUACCUACAAAAGUGUGUUUUUAGACCUCAAAACUGAUUUGAAAGUAUAUGGCCUCUUUUAUGGGUAAGACUUGAGUCGAGACACAUUAUAAUUUUUUUUUAAAGCCCUUACGAUGUUGAAAAAUGUUUUAUGAUAUUUUUAUUUAAAAUUAUCAAAUGUUUAAUUUAUAUCUUUUGAUUGUUUUAGGCUUCCAAAACCUAGUUUUAUACCUCAAAUAUCUCCAACCACCUAUUAAAUGAUUCAAGUUGAUUUCAACACAUUUCAAGAGCUUCACUACCACCUCAAACGUGAUUUAAUGAUUUUAUAAAACUAUUUAAGAUUUGAAAUGUAACACCCCUCGCCCGACUUGAUUGUCGGGCCCGAACUGUCGAAUCUUAUAUUCAUUGCUUGAGCAACUACAUCCAAUUUAUGCAAUAAUUAAUCAUUCAUAGAUGCAAUUAAGUGUCAAUCACAUUCAAUUUAUGUUAAACAAUCAUUUAUGGGUCUUAUACAAGUUUAUAAAAGCUCUUUUAUUAACCAUUGAAUGAAAGAUAACCAAAUUGUAAAGUUUGAAAAAUUUAGGAUUGAUGUCGCGACUUAAUCACUUCCCAUGUCAUUAUAUUGUCAACACAGUAAGUUAUGUCACAACUUCAUGCCACUCGCGUAACGUCACUUACUCUCGAUCUAUGUUGCGACAAGAGAUGUUGGUCGUCGAAACAUGACCCUUAUUUUUUGGCAAAAUGUACAUUUUGGUACCCGUUCCAUAGCUUGCAACCAAAACCUUUCAACAUGAUCACCUAUAUACCACUUCCACUUGAUUCAAACCAUAUUAAAACAUGCCAAACAAUAUCAAAUAUUCAAAUUCAACCUCUUAUCAAGGCCUUCAAUAAUUACUAUUACAACAUAAUAACAAAGUCAAGAAAAUACCCAACCUUACCUAUGCCAUAUCACAUUGAAACUUAUCAUUUCACUUCAAUUACAUAUGCUUAUGAACAUUAUGCACAUCUAUGGUUUAUAAGCCUUCAGCAUGAACACCAACUAUCAAGAAUAAGCCUCAUUUUACAAGCAUACUUUAAGGUACAAUUUUUCAAAUACAUAUUCAUCUUAUUCACCUAUUAACCAAGCUAUCAUUUCUACCUCAAUCUAUGCCAUUCUGCAUGCCAUAUAUAUAGUAAUAGAUCAUCACAUCUUUAAGCAUAAAAUACAUAUAUGUCUAACACCAUAUGUGAGUCAAAACACCAAAUCAACAUAUUAUAUAUAAUGGUUAAGUCAAACUUAUCAAGUAGUAAACACAUUCACAUACUAAGAUACACACCAAGUCACUUAUAUGCAUUCCAAAACCCUAGACUCAAAAUGAUUGCAUAACUACCGAUUCAGUGAUAAUGUAAGUUUUAAUACGAUCCAGCUUGACGUGUUUCACAAGGUAACAAUCUACAAGGAAAGGAAAACAAACAAGGUAAGCAUAUUAGAUUCUUAGUAAGUUCAUAUGUUUAGUACAAGUUUUACCUUAUUCUUACCUAACAUUUUAAAGUUAUAAUAGCUUGGCAACAUGUUUCGCUAGACAUGCAAAUCAAAACACAAAUAAUGUGAGCAUUGAUUUAUAAUCAAAUAUGAGAACAUAAGUGUUUAAUGACCACCUCUGGAUGUACCAACAUCUAGAGUAAGAAUCCUGCAUAAAAGAUAUGAAGUAAGUGGUAUCUGCAAGUAUACGAGUUAGGUUGUAACAUAGUUACAAUGAAGUAAGUGAGUACUCUAAGGAUCAUACCCAAGGGAGGUGAAGAAUCCUGCAUAAAAGAUAUGAAGUAAGUGGUAUCUGUAAGUAUACGAGUUAGGUUGUAACAUAGUUACAAUGAAGUAGGUGAGUACUCUAAGGAUCAUACCCAAGGGAGGUGAGUACUAAAUUAAUCCUAAUCCAAACACAAAUAGAUCUAAUUAGUACUUUAAAUAAAUUAUAUUAUGAAUAAACAUAAGGAGAGAUUUUUGAGGUUUUUAUAACAAUAAAAUAAAUAAAGAGACUUUGAGAAACUAAUUAUGUAAACUAAAUUUGACAUAAGCAUGGGUGAUUAGCUCACUUUGGUAAUCAUAACUAACUGUCGCUUCAGGUUUCUAUUCAAUCAACUAGUCGUUACCCUAGUAGGACUUCUCGAUCUUCCACUAAACUAAUGAGUCGGUAAGAACUACUUAUCUCUUGACCUCACAGUUCAGACCGGUUCGAGGCUAAGGUGUUCAUAGAUAGACCAUACCAAUUUUGGGUUAAUUCCUACCUAAAUGACUUCCUAAGGUUGUCAAGCCUAGGGUUUAAGUUUUUCCUCUCCCAAACAGCUGAUUUGUUAAGAAAACCCUACAUAACAAUUAAUUAGUCUUACUUCCACUCACUAAUCCCCCAUAAGAGAAUUAGUUCCUCAUGGAUUUCAUAAACACAUUAGACUUGAUGCUAAAGUAAACAUGAAUAAUGGAUAAAUAGAAAAUGAAUCCUGAAUUGUAUUUGAAUGAAGUGCAGAAUCUACAAAGAUUUGAUUGAGUCUACAAAUCAGAUCUCCCGACAAAUGCAAAGAUAAAAACUAGAAAUAACAUAAAACGUAAGAAAAAGGUAAAAAUUGAAAAAUGAAAUUACGAAGAAAAUUCUAAAGUAUGAAAAGUUGUCUAUAAAAAGUGUUAAAUGAGCCUAUUUAUAGAUUUAGGGUUAUCGUCGUCCUCAACCCUAGGUCAGCUGACGCUUUUGUAUUAAACAUUCAAUUGUGUAGACCAAAACGUCCCUGAAUUGUAAGUAUUUCUCGUACAGGACCGAUGUUACGACACCCUAGUGCGUGUGUCGCAACAUUGACGGUAGUAUGCUCAGAUUCAGGUUGGCUUUAGGGGUGUGUCGCGACAUCCCUUGGUUGUGUUGUGACACUGAAGGUAAUCUUGAAAUUUUUGUAUUGUACUCCCUAUGUUGUGACUUCAAACUCCUAGUGUUGCAACACAGCAACCAGGUACGCUCACUAAUGGUCAAUUGCAUAGUCAUUAAGUAUAUUAGCUCACCCUUAGGGCUCAUUCAACCCCUAAGGUUAAUAAAAGGCUCAAAUUUAAAUUUUUAUUAAAUGUAAAUGAAACUAUGAAAACUUAAUUGAAACAUAAUAAAAGUGCUUGUAUUCAAGCUCCUCAAGUGAAAAAACUAGUUUAAUUUGCUACAUCAAAUUACGGUAGAUAAUUUAACAUGCCAAAUUACAUCACUUUAGGUAACUAAUCUCAAAAACACAUUCAAUCAAUGAAUAAUACAAUCAAAACCAUGGCAAAAGAAUUACCUCAAUCAAUUUUUCAUGUUCAAUUCAUUCAAUGACUUUCUAUUUCAAUAUCCAGUUCAUUUCAUCCUAUUUCAAUUUCUUAAUUUUAUAUAAACAACUUCGCCUGAUGAACCCUAGUAAAUGGACUCAGAUACGGAUGUAACUACACCACAUGAUAAAGAAUGAGGCGGAAGAAUACGCAAUUAGAUCGUAAAUUUUUUCUAAGUCGCGGAUUUGACUUGGGGCUCUAGACGUUAAAAAAGAAACUUGGAUUCUAACAUAACCUGAAACAAAAAUGAAUCCAAGUCAGAUAAAAAUAAAGAGAACAAUUAAAAAUAAAUAGCUAAGAUGAAUAAAAUAGAAUAAUGAAAUCAAAUAUUAGAAUAACAAAAAAGAAAAUAAAGUCGAUAGAUGGAAAAAAUAGAACGUGAUAUGUAGAAGUCCUAAGAAGCCUUAGAAACAUAAAGAAUCCACAACCCCCUUCAAGGGCUCUAAUUUCCCCUCCAAUAUAAAAACCUUGGCAAGAAAAAGUUUAAAGAUGAUCUCCACAAUCUAAAAAGAUUGUUAAAACUCUUCUAAAAGAAAUUUAAGAACAAUUCUUGAAAAGAAAAACUCAAAGAGAAUUUAAAUAAUAAUCAAUUAUUUUUUUAUUUGUGUACAAUGCAAAGGCCUGUAUACAGGUUAGCUAAAUAGAUCUAAAUAAAACUCUUAUGUAUACUAGAACUAUAAGUAAUCUAAACAAGAAGUAGUUUUAAAUAAACUUUCUUGUUGACAUAAAACUCCUCAAUAACUUAAACUACUUAAUAAUUAUUAAAAAUUUGGAAUAAUAAAGUAAUAAAAUAAUAAGAGAUGAUAUAUACAGUAUUGGGCUCAUGUAUAAUAAAAAUUAAACCCAAACCUCGAACCCAAUAUGAUUUAAACUUAAAUUAAAGGCCUGAAACUCAUAAUUCUCGUCGUAAUCACGUCCAGAAAUUCUACUCAUGCAGUCUUUAUUAAAAAAAUCAUAACUUGAGCUCCUAAACUCGAAAUCAAGUGAUUUAAAGUGAGUUUCGAAGAUAAGAGAUAGAUAUUUGAAUUCCAUGUAGACAUCUCAACCCAGAAAUGCCUGGAUCCUAUCCAAAAAGUUGUCACAAGUCUAUUAAUUUCCCAAACUUGAAAAUUGGUAGCUUUGGUGAAUGGAAUUUAAUAAAUUUCACCUCAUCCGUGUAUGUAUCACCAUACCAAUUGCUCAUCCAAGGUAAGUGUAAUUAUAUACUUGGUUACUCAUCCAAACUAAAUCAUUAUCACGACCUUUAGGUUACUUUUCUGAGCUAAACCUGGGUCACAUAAAUACUGAAAAUCUACAACAAAUGUUGGAUCUUAUUAACAUCUUUAAGAAAUCUCGUACAAGCACGUACUGUUGGGAAAUGUGCUCAUACUGUAGUAAAUAUGCAAUUAUUUUAUAUGUAUUUGAACGAUGAAUGAAUAACUAAUGUUAAUUUCACAUUUCAUUAUUAUGUCUUUUAUGUUUCUUUCUUUCAUGUUUUGCGUGCAUAGCAAAAUUGUGGCUAGCAAAUAUUAGCUAAUUGAUUGUUUAAGCUCAAGCUGAUGAUAAGUGGCACUGUAAUAAUAUUUACAUUGCGAGAAAGACAACUUACUUUAGUAGAUAAUCUAAAUGAGUCUGUAAUCCCAUAAAAGAAUCAAAAUGAACAUUUUAUUCAAAUACUUAGAAGGAUUAUUAUGUCAUCUACAAUUCUGAUUAGGGAGAUGACUAGUCUUAGAUAUUGGAGAGUUGACUCCAUAGGUAGAGACAUAAAUAUAUUCAUUGGAAGAAUGAUACAUUGGACUGGACCAAAGAUGAAUUAAUUCUGAAUCUAUUUGUGAAUUAGUUCAUGUGUGACGUUCAUGAUGUGAUUUACCUAAAUCAUGAGUUAGUCACUGACCAUGCAUAUGUAACUUAUGUGCUUUGAUAUAAGUGGAGGCUUACGCUCUAAAGAUUAUCGAUCCCAUAUCCAAUAUGUUGGGUACAUAACUUGUGUAUGGCAUGACUUUACUAGUAAUAAUGGAAUUCAUAACUUAGUUAAAGAGUUAACAAUAUCCUCUCAUUAUCAUUGUGUAAAUUGAUAAAUAUAGAACGUGCCUGAUCGGCUGUAAACGUCAAAACAAAAAUGUGCAAGCGUACACUGUCGAUGAAAGUAUAAUAGACAGAUGUGAGUCUGUUGGAUAUCGAUCCCACAGGGAUGGUUGUCUUUUGUCUAUUAAUAUCGGUGUAAUAACUAGAUAAAAACGAGAUAAAUUGUGAGUAUAGUUGUCGAAGCAAUAGCAUGAAAGUAAUAAGAUAAAGUAUACUAUGGAUAAACUAGGAUCCCUAACAUGAAUCUUCAGCGGUAUACUAAGUACUCACAAGGUAUAAAAGAUAGGUUAUUGUAGACACAAUAAAAUUUAAUGUAUAUAUUAACAAAUGCCACUCUUUUAUUUAAUCUGGGACAUAACCAUACACAUUAACCUCACCUUUCGAUAUGGCAAUUGGCACUAUUAAGAAUAAGUGGACUAAAUUCCUUUUACUCAACUUCCGCAGAAAUGUUUAUUAGCUCGAACUGUCAUUGCACCUUCUAGUGUUAGUGACUGUAAUAACACUUCCGUGUUUAGAACAUUCAAACCCCCAAGAUUAAAUAAUAAAAAUAAGAUUUAAUAAGAUAACAUUUAAGAAAGCAUUUAUUGUACUUCCAUACUAUAAAAAACAUAGAGUAAUCACUAGCGUUUUCAAAGAAAUGAGAAAGAAUCAAAUGGAGAAUAGUUCUUAAGCUACUUGAUUGAAUCUCUCCAUUUCCCCUUGUUCUACACUUAGAUCCUCUCGUCAGGAGUGGAUCUGCAUCAGCCUUCACGUUGGCUUACCCAAAGGAGGCUCAAGCUGCCAUGGCCGCAAGCUUCAAACUAGGGUAAGAGAAUGGUGGUCCAGCAAAAAAUUCUUUCUUCAUUCUUCUCACGUUAUCCUUUUAUGUUUUCCUUAACAGUACAGGUGUUCUUCCCUCAGAAUUCUUCUGUCCUUGUUCGUACAGAAUAGUUAUAUCAGACUAGACAGCUCGCGCAUGGUUGGUUCUUAUUAGACAGCUGUCAACUGCGGUGACAAUUUUGGACGCAUCUAGAAUUAACUCAUGCAACGACAUUGUGGACAUUUGUCGACUACAGCGACAAUUCCAAACGCAAUCUGGAAUUAACUCAUGCAGCGACAUUAAUGCAAUAAGAUAGUAAAAUUAAGGAUAAAAUAGGCUAGGAUUCAUUGAGUUAUAAAAUGAAAUUUAUUAAAC